ACAGUUCUGGCUGAGGCUCAGCCACGGCAGCGUGGUGGGAUCCUUCCUUCUCUCCCUGCGUGGCUGUGUGCAUCCUUGAGCACAUCCAUGCAUCCCUCUCCGGGGCAAUGGUAAAUGGCCAACCCAACGCUGCAGCUGUGAUGUAAGCAAAGAAGCAGAGGGAGCAUUCAGCCCUAAGAAAACGAGCAUUAACCGCCGGUAUCACUCCAUCUCUCCACUGUCAUCAUCCCGUGGAUCCUGUGUGGCUGCAACGUGACCACAUCCUGCCAUCCUGCCCCCAAACAAUUACAUCAAAAAGGAAAAGCCAUCAGGACUGGCAGUGCUCAGCUGGGGAGGAGCAGCAGGAGCGACGUGCCGGAUCCUGGGGGUGCACACAGACCUUCUUGGUGAAGAAAACCAAGCACUGCUUUGCCUCGCUGAGUUGACGAAUCCUACUGUGCCCAUAUUGCAGGAGUCUGGGGGAGGAAGACUGUAAGAAGAGGGGUUUUGCAGUCCACCUGCUGAAAAAGAUGGAGAUGUUUGUGUUGUGUCAGUCAACUGGGUCAGAAUGGCACUUACCAGCACUGCACUGGUGCAAAUAAGGGCAGCACAGUGAGUGCAGGGUUAGAAGCGGUGUCCAUGGGAUCCCUGUGCCUGUUUGCUGUCUUAGUUCAACAUUCAACAAGUCCUGAAGGGCUGAGGGGGGGGUAUGCACAGAGCACACCCUGGCUGCACGCUCAUUGACCUGCAAUGCACGGAGGGUGAGACGGUCACACAUAACCACUUCCCAGGCAGGGCAGCAGUUAAUGAUGUGUCGUCAGCCCAUUCUGAAUUCUCAUUCUGGGGGAUUAAACUGCAAGAACUUGCCUUGCCCUGGGCAGAAGCUCAGCUUGGAGAGCCGUAUUUUCCUUGUCUUUUGAAGAAAUUCUGAGGUCCUUUAGCAACAUCUGUGGUCAAAAGGACGUUUUCUAGUGGCAGACUCUGAGAAAAUCCCAGCUUCACCCACAUGGGGCUGCAGCAGCAGCAGCAAAAAGUGAACGUGACCACCCUUGAGAAAGCCCUGUGCAGAGUUUGUUCUUUGUCGGGGUCACCACCUCUGAAGGCUUUGUUUUCCUUGUGCUUCCAGAGCCUGGAUUUGGGGAUGAGGCUGGGGAGAGGCUUUGUGUGCUGUAACCAUUCCUCUUCCUAAGGCUGAUGGAAGUGCUGGGUUAACACAUGCAGUGGGAUGGGCAGUGGCUUCAGAAUGUAUGGGUAGACUGUAACUGAUCACCUGGGACAGACGCAUGGCUUGCAAGGACAUUGGAAAGCCAGGAACUGCAAAAUGAGCAGGGAAAAGGCUGCAGGGACUGUUGGUGAGAUGGCUCCAGGGCUGCAGGCAUUCCAGCAAUGGGGCAGAAGUCAUGGAAAGUUCUCUGGGAAACAAACUGAACAGGAAACAAUACUGUUAUAUAAGUACACAGAGAGGCUGCGGCUGCACCCAUAAAGCUUUCACAGGGCUAUUUGUCAUUUACUGACAGCACAGAAACAUGAACCAUAAAACACUUCCCAAUGCUGGCUCUGCUCAAUUACCACUUAUUAUUGUUACUGUUAUUUUAAAUAUAUAUUUCUCACAGACAGAUACUGAAAGGUGCAUUAGAUUGCACCCAAAACAAAGGCAAUGCAUUAUCACAGGAGAAAAUGAGUUCAAUGUAAAGCAUCAGGACUGAACUUAUUGCAGUUUGAUAGGCAAGGCACCUCUUUGAUUCUGGGCACAGAACCUGAGGCCUUCAAUGAAAGCCCAUAAUGCUGCAUCUGCUCCAGCUAUUCACACUCAGUGGCAUUCAGUCUUACCUAAUUGACACCACUUUUAAUCCCACAGUGUUUUUGUUUCUGGGAUAUAGAAAUGAAGUAGUUUGGCUCUCAACUUGCAUUGAAUUUGUAUCUGCAGUAGGGUUUCUUUGGGUCUGUCAUAGCAAAGCAUGCUGCACAGUUAUCAGUGUGCUGAAAUUACAUACACAGUCUGUGCCUGCGUUAGGUCAAGGCUGAAUGCAAGUGUGUUUUACAACUGAGACAAGACAGAGCAAGAAUGCAUCAUCUAGGAUAUUUUCUGAAAGCACCCAUUGUUUUUUGGUAGCAUCUUCAUUUUUUAAGUGGGCUUCAAACCACCAACAUAGUAUAUAACAUCUGCAAGUUUGCAGUCGCUAUGAAUAAACUGUGGGUGAAACUGUGAGCAGUUGCAUGUCUCAUCCUCGGUUACCUAGUGAUGUUUAUGGCUCCCUGUAUGACUCACUGCUUAAUUAGUGUUUGCAUUACCUAAGGAUCCCAAGGCCCCAGCCAAGAGAAGACCCCAUCAUGUUAUGGGCUGUACAUGCAGGGAGACAGCCUGAGAACACACAACAUAAACAGAGCAGGCAGAGGAAGGGAAACAGAAGCUGUGAGAGGGGCUGGCUGCCCCACAGCAGAGCAGUGUGGGAACUAAAGCCCUUAUCAUCCCAUCUCUCUGUACAGUUAUCUACAAACUGAGCUACGCUGCAUCCUCCCGUACUUAGGAAAGUCAAUCUGGCAACUGGUAUCACGCAAAACCGUGCUCGAGUAAAAGCAAUGCUCCCAUAUGUAUGUAUUUCCUUAGAUGGUAUUAUUUUUACUGAUAUUAAAUGGUCUUGUUAUUAAGGAAAGG
ensembl:lncRNA